rnacentral:rRNA from 1 species
UACAGAGGGUGCGAGCGUUGUUCGGAAUUAUUGGGCGUAAAGGGCGCGUAGGCGGUGUGUCAAGUCAGGCGUGAAAGCCCCGGGCUCAACCUGGGAACCGCGCUUGAGACUGGCACGCUAGAGUUCGGGAGAGGAUGGUGGAAUUCCCAGUGUAGAGGUGAAAUUCGUAGAUAUUGGGAAGAACACCGAUGGCGAAGGCAGCCAUCUGGACCGACACUGACGCUGAGGCGCGAAAGCGUGGGGAGCAAACAGGG